rnacentral:rRNA from 1 species
UACGAAAGGUGCAAGCGUUACUCGGAAUCACUGGGCGUAAAGCGCACGUAGGCGGACUUGAAGGUCAAUUGUGAAAUACCUGGGCUCAACCCGGGAACUGCAGUUGAAACCGCUUGUCUUGAAUACCUGAGGGGGUGGGGGAAUACCUGGUGGAGAAGUGAAAUUCGUAGAGAUCAGGUGGAACACCGGAGGCGAAGGCGCCUGCCUGGCAGUGUAUUGACGCUGAGGUGCGAAAGCGUGGGGAGCAAACAGG